rnacentral:rRNA from 1 species
ACGGGUGAGUAACACGUGAGUAACCUGCCCUUAACUCUGGGAUAAGCCUGGGAAACUGGGUCUAAUACCGGAUAUGACUCCUCAUCGCAUGGUGGGGGGUGGAAAGCUUUUGUGGUUUUGGAUGGACUCGCGGCCUAUCAGCUUGUUGGUGAGGUAAUGGCUCACCAAGGCGACGACGGGUAGCCGGCCUGAGAGGGUGACCGGCCACACUGGGACUGAGACACGGCCCAGACUCCUACGGGAGGCAGCAGUGGGGAAUAUUGCACAAUGGGCGGAAGCCUGAUGCAGCGACGCCGCGUGAGGGAUGACGGCCUUCGGGUUGUAAACCUCUUUCAGUAGGGAAGAAGCGAGAGUGACGGUACCUGCAGAAGAAGCGCCGGCUAACUACGUGCCAGCAGCCGCGGUAAUACGUAGGGCGCAAGCGUUAUCCGGAAUUAUUGGGCGUAAAGAGCUCGUAGGCGGUUUGUCGCGUCUGCCGUGAAAGUCCGGGGCUCAACUCCGGAUCUGCGGUGGGUACGGGCAGACUAGAGUGAUGUAGGGGAGACUGGAAUUCCUGGUGUAGCGGUGAAAUGCGCAGA